rnacentral:rRNA from 1 species
CGUGCAGGCGGUUGGGUAAGUUGGAUGUGAAAGCUCCUGGCUUAACUGGGAGAGGUCGUUCAAUACUACCUGACUUGAGAGUGGUAGAGGAAAGCGGAAUUCCGGGUGUAGUGGUGAAAUGCGUAGAUAUCCGGAGGAACACCAGUGGCGAAAGCGGCUUUCUGGACCAUUUCUGACGCUCAGACGCGAAAGCUAGGGUAGCAAACG